rnacentral:rRNA from 1 species
AGCGAACGCUAGCGGGUGGCUUAACACAUGCAAGUCGAGCGGUCUUCGGACAGCGGCGGACGGGUGAGUAACACGUAGGAUAUCUGCCUUUAGGUGAGGGAUAGCCAGGGGAAACCCUGAUUAAUACCACAUGUGGCCCACGGGUCAAAGACUUCGGUCGCCUAGAGAUGAGCCUGCGGCCCAUUAUUUAGUCCUUGUUGGUGGGGUAAUGGCCUACCAAGGGUACGAUGGGUAGCUGGUCUGAGAGGACGAUCAGCCACACUGGGACUGAGACACGGCCCAG